rnacentral:pre_miRNA from 1 species
UAUUUACAUGCUUCUCCCUGUCCCCCACAUCUUGCGGACAUUCCAGGUACUGAUAUUAAUUGUUGGUGUGGUUGUCAGAAGGGGCAUCGGUCCCG